rnacentral:rRNA from 1 species
GAUUGCCCUAGUAACGGCGAGUGAAGCGGCAACAGCUCAAAUUUGAAAUCUGGCGUCUUUGGCGUCCGAGUUGUAAUUUGCAGAGGGCGCUUUGGCGUUGGCAGCGGUCCAAGUUCCUUGGAACAGGACGUCACAGAGGGUGAGAAUCCCGUACGUGGUCGCUGGCCUUCGCCGUGUAAAGCCCCUUCGACGAGUCGAGUUGUUUGGGAAUGCAGCUCUAAAUGGGAGGUAAAUUUCUUCUAAAGCUAAAUACUGGCCAGAGACCGAUAGCGCACAAGUAGAGUGAUCGAAAGAUGAAAAGCACUUUGGAAAGAGAGUCAAACAGCACGUGAAAUUGUUAAAAGGGAAGCGCUUGCAGCCAGACUUGCCUGUAGUUGCUCAUCCGGACUUUUGUCCGGUGCACUCUUCUAUAGGCAGGCCAGCAUCAGUUUGGGCGGUUGGAUAAAGGUCUCUGUCAUGUACCUCUCUUCGGGGAGAACUUAUAGGGGAGACGACAUGCAACCAGCCUGGACUGAGGUCCGCGCAUUUGCUAGGAUGCUGGCGUAAUGGCUGUAAGCGGCCCGUCUUGAAACACGGACCAAGGAGUCUAACAUCUAUGCGAGUGUUUGGGUGUCAAGCCCGAACGCGUAAUGAAAGUGAACGGAGGUGGGAACCUUUCGGGGUGCACCAUCGACCGAUCCUGAUGUCUUCGGAUGGAUUUGAGUAAGAGCAUAGCUGUUGGGACCCGAAAGAUGGUGAACUAUGCUUGAAUAGGGUGAAGCCAGAGGAAACUCUGGUGGAGGCUCGCAGCGGUUCUGACGUGCAAAUCGAUCGUCAAAUUUGGGCAUAGGGGCGAAAGACUAAUCGAA